AUUUAUAUAGUUUAAAUAAAACAUUAUAUUUUCAAUAUAAAAUUAAUGAAAGUUUAUAAAUA
rnacentral:tRNA from 1 species